GCUACGGGUGGCAGCAGUGGGGAAUAUUGCACAAUGGGGGAAACCCUGAUGCAGCGACGCCGCGUGAGUGAAGAAGUAUCUCGGUACGUAAAGCUCUAUCAGCAGGGAAGAAAAUGAAGGUAUCUGACUAAGAAGCCCCGGCUAACUACGUGCCAGCAGCCGCGGUAAUACGUAGGGGACAAGCGUUAUCAGGAUUUACUGGGUGUAAAGGGGGCGUAGACGGCAGCGCAAGUCUGGAGUGAAAUGCCGGGGCCCAACCCAGGAACUGCACUGGAAAUUGUGAAUCUGGAGUGCAGGAGAGGUCAGCGGAAUUCCUGGUGUAGCGGUGAAAUGCGUAGAUAUCAGGAGGAACACCAGUGGCGAAGGCGGCUGACUGGACUGUAACUGACGUUGAGGCGCGAAGGCGUGGGGAGCAAACAGGAUUAGAUACCCCAGUAGUC
rnacentral:rRNA from 1 species